GUCCAGGUAGCUCGGCUGGUUAGAGCAAAGGUUGUUUUAUGUACCUUGUGUCAGUGGUUCGAAUCCACUUCUAAGCG
rnacentral:tRNA from 1 species